ACCAACAGGACUACAGGGCAGACCAACAGGUCCCCAGGGCAGACCAACAGGACUACAGGGCAGACCAACAGGACUACAGGACAGACCAACAGGACUACAGGACAGACCAACAGGACCACAGGGCAGACCAACAGGACUACAGGACAGACCAACAGGUCCCCAGGGCAGACCAACAGGACUACAGGGCAGACCAACAGGACUACAGGACAGACCAACAGGACUACAGGGCAG